CCACAAGGAAGAAGGAGUUUGUGCAGUUACACCAUCAGGAUCAGUCUGGAGUUUUUCCUUUCCAGCGUACAAGCCCAGUUGAUUCAUCUUCAUCCAAUCUUUCAAGAAUCCGUCACUGUCUCCGGAUGUCUUUGAGGAGACUAUAGAAUUUGAAUUCCCAUCAAAGAACCAUGACAAUCUUUUGGCUUCUUCCUUCUGCCCUUUUAUGUGUUCUCCUUGCUGCUCCAGUCAUCAAUACUGGGGUUAAUUAAGCCUUGAACUUGUAUCCACAAUCACGUUGUAAAAUGGAUAGAUGAAGCACUUCACUUCUCAUCAUAUGGAAUA